rnacentral:rRNA from 1 species
AAGCGCUUGCCCCCAGACUUGUCGGCGGUGUUCCGCCGGUCUUCUGACCGGUCUACUCGCCGCCGACAGGCCAGCAUCAUCUGGGACCGCCGGAGAAAGGCGCCGGGAAUGUAUCUCCCCCGGGAGUGUUAUAGCCCGGCGCAGAAUACGGCGCGCCCCAGGUGAGGUCCGCGCUUCGGCUAGGAUGCUGGCGUAAUGGCGGUAAGCGG